AGGCGCGGUGGCUUAAUGGUUACGCGCGUUGGAUUCUGGAUCGAGUGGUCUGGGUUCGAGCCCUGUCCUGUUUA